AUAUACUGAGACACGGAUCCGACUCCUACGGGAGGCAGCAGUAAGGAAUAUUGGACAAUGCCCGCAAGGGCGAUCCAGCCAUGCCGCGUGCAGGAAGACGGCCCUAUGGGUUGUAAACUGCUUUUACACCGGAGAAAACCUUCCCUCGUGAGGGGAGCUGAUAGUAUGGUGAGAAUAAGCAUCGGCUAACUUCGUGCCAGCAGCCGCGGUAAUACGAAGGAUGCAAGCGUUAUCCGGAUUCAUUGGGUUUAAAGGGAGCGUAGGUGGCCCUAUAAGUCAGUGGUGAAAUCUCUCGGCUUAACCGAGAAAUUGCCAUUGAUACUGUAGGGCUUGAGUAUAGUUGCCGUUGGCGGAAUAUGACAUGUAGUGGUGAAAUACAUAGAGAUGUCAUAGAACACCGAUUGCGAAGGCAGCUGACGAAACUAUAACUGACACUGAGGCUCGAAAGUGCGGGGAUCAAACAGGAUUAGAUACACUGGUAGUCCGCACUGUAAACGAUGAUUACUCGCUGCUAGAGGGCAACUUUUAGUGGCUUAGCGAAAGCGAUAAGUAAUCCACCUGGGGAGUACGCCGGCAACGGUGAAACUCAAAGGAAUUGACGGGGGCCCGCACAAGCGGAGGAGCAUGUGGUUUAAUUCGAUGAUACGCGAGGAACCUUACCAGGGCUUGAAAGUUAGUGACCGUUCCUGAAAGGGAGCUUUCCGCAAGGACACGAAACUAGGUGCUGCAUGGCUGUCGUCAGCUCGUGCCGUGAGGUGUUGGGUUAAGUCCCGCAACGAGCGCAACCCCUACCAUUAGUUGCCAGCGGUUCGGCCGGGGACUCUAGUGGAACUGCCCGCGCAAGCGGUGAGGAAGGUGGGGAUGACGUCAAGUCAUCACGGCCCUUACGUCCAGGGCUACACACGUGCUUCAAUGGCUAUUACAGAGGGCAGCUACAUAGUAAUAUGAUGCAAAUCUUCAAAAAUAGUCUCAGUUCGGAUUGGGGUCUGCAACUCGACCCCAUGAAGCUGGAUUCGCUAGUAAUCGCGCAUCAGCAAUGGCGCGGUGAAUACGUUCCCGGGCCUUGUACACACCGCCCGUCAAGCCAUGAAAGCUGGGAGUAUCUAAAGUCGGUAGCCGUAAGGCGCCGCCUAGGGUAAAACCGGUGAUUGGGGCUAAGUCGUAACAAGGUAGCCGUACCGGAAGGUGCGGCUG
rnacentral:rRNA from 1 species